GGCAAGGUGGUCGAGUGGUUAAGACGUAAGACUGUAUGUAUCACCGGCUUUCUUCAGCUGCCAAUCAAUACUAAUUCCUUUCCAGUGAAUCCAACUAUUGGAAGACAUCUUAUCCCUUCGGGGUCGCGCGUUCAAAUCGCGUCCUUGUCG